UACGGGGGUGGCGAGCGUUACUCGGAUUUAUUGGGUGUAAAGGGCAGGUAGGCGGUUUCGAAAGUCGAAUGUGAAAUCCUUUGGCUUAACCAAAGAAGUGCAUUCGAAACUCCGAGACUUGAGUACGGGAGAGGAGAGUGGAAUUCCCGGUGUAAGGGUGAAAUCUGUAGAUAUCGGGAGGAACACCAGUGGCGAAGGCGGCUCUCUGGUCCGUAACUGACGCUGAGCUGCGAAAGCUAGGGGAGCAAACAGG
rnacentral:rRNA from 1 species